ACUCAGUGGCGGACGGGUGAAUCAACGUCUGAAUUCGCCUUCAGGAGGGGGACAACAGCUGGAAACGGCUCGCUAAUACCCCAUAUCGCUUUCGAGUGAAAUGAAUUCCCCUCGCCUAAAGAGAAGCUUCGCGGCUCAUUAGCUUGUUGGUGAGGUAACGGCUCACCAAGGCGACGAUCAGUAUCUGGUUUGAGAGGACGAUCAGACACACUGGAACUGAGACACGGUCCAGACUCCUGCGGGAGGCAGCAGUAGGGAAUUUUCCGCAAUGGGCUAACGCCUGACGGAGCAAUACCGCGUGAGGGAUGAAUGCCUAUGGGUUGUAAACCUCUUUUUUCAGGGAGGAACAAAUGACGUGUACCUGAAGAAUAAGCAUCGGCUAACUCCGUGCCAGCAGCCGCGGUAAGACGGAGGAUGCAAGUGUUAUCCGGAAUCACUGGGCGUAAAGCGUCUGUAGGUUGUUUAAUAAGUCAACUGUUAAAUCUUGAGGCUCAACCUCAAACUUGCAGUCGAAACUAUUAGACUAGAGUAUAGUAGGGGUAAAGGGAAUUUCCAGUGGAGCGGUGAAAUGCGUAGAUAUUGGAAAGAACACCGAUGGCGAAGGCACUUUACUGGGCUAUUACUGACACUCAGAGACGAAAGCUAGGGUAGCAAAUGGGAUUAGAUACCCCAGUAGUCCUAGCUGUAAACAAUGGAUACUAGAUGUUGAACAGAUCGACCUG
rnacentral:rRNA from 1 species